GAACUGAAGAGUUUGAUCAUGGCUCAGAUUGAACGCUGGCGGCAGGCCUAACACAUGCAAGUCGAGCGGAUGACGGGAGCUUGCUC
rnacentral:rRNA from 1 species